AAUAGAUACCCAGGUAGUCCACGCCGUAAACGAUGAGUGCUAAGUGUUGGGGGUUUCCGCCCCUCAGUGCUGCAGCUAACGCAUUAAGCACUCCGCCUGGGGAGUACGGCCGCAAGGCUGAAACUCAAAGGAAUUGACGGGGGCCCGCACAAGCGGUGGAGCAUGUGGUUUAAUUCGAAGCAACGCGAAGAACCUUACCAGGUCUUGACAUCCCGCUGCCCGGUAUAGAGAUAUACCUUUCCCUUCGGGGACAGCGGUGACAGGUGGUGCAUGGUUGUCGUCAGCUCGUGUCGUGAGAUGUUGGGUUAAGUCCCGCAACGAGCGCAACCCUUGAUCUUAGUUGCCAGCAUUUAGUUGGGCACUCUAAGGUGACUGCCGGUGACAAACCGGAGGAAGGUGGGGAUGACGUCAAAUCAUCAUGCCCCUUAUGACCUGGGCUACACAUGUGCUACAAUGGAUGGUACAAAGGGCUGCAAGACCGCGAGGUUUAGCCAAUCCCAUAAAAACCAUUCUCAGUUCGGAUUGCAGG
rnacentral:rRNA from 1 species